UUCAGUAGCUCUCUAAGGCCUGGGUGCAGGAGGGAGGGAGGCGGCGGAGGUAGGGAAAUGGGUACCCCUAGUCUUUACACCCUCCUCAUCCGUGCAUGGCAACGGGAUCCCUUAAUUCUUUCCCCCAACAUGCAGGAUUUUGCGGGGUCCCGCACCCUCUUCUGUCCUGGCCGCCGCUCCAGAGCAGGAGAGCCUCCCAGAUGGACACUCCAUUUCCCAGCUGCCAUCAGAGCCUUAAGACGUUGGAUCAUGGACCCUGUUAAAUAUUUCAUGGUGAUGAACUCAUCUGUUUUCCACCACCAUAUGAGGGCUCCAGCCGGGAAUACCACAGACGGUUUGCCAUGGAUCGAGACUUCUCCGGAGAAAGCGCACAGGAGGGCUGCUGUGAGCAAUGAAGGAACUUGCUGUUUCCCUGAUUCCCUCAUCAAGAGGAGCCCAAUGAAGUCACUGCACGUUUGAACGGGUGCUAUCCAAGCGCAGCUGCUGGCCAGUUCAGAGGGCUAGGGCGGCCAGUGACUGAACGGCUACAUGGAAAAUCUGAGGUGGCGCAUGAUGGAAAUAAAACUCCUGUAGGAGCUGUGUGAUUCACUCAUCAGUGCUCCCAGAUGUGGGCCCAGCAUGUGCACGUGAACAGUGUAUAGGUUUGUUCAUCCAUUUACUUGCUAGCCCUUUAUUUAUUCAACAAGUUCUGAUCAUGUACCUAAGAGGCACCAUGCUGGGUGUCCUGGAUGGACAAGACCAGAUCCCCGCCCUACAGGGACUACGGUCUAGAGAGGGGAGGCAGGAGCAAGGUGACAGUGAUUUGUACCAAGUGCUGAGGUGGGAGAGUCAUCUUAUAUCUCCAUUUGAUGUCACUACCCUCCUCGUGCUCAGUGCAGCCCCCUUUCCUCCAGCUUCUUUCUGCCUGGAUCCCAUCUUCCUUAUGAGCUGGGUCACUGUUUGGCUGCAGGCAGCGACAAACGCGGCAAUAAAGCUGCUGAGAUAAGGCUGUCAGUUCUAAGGGAAUCCCGGGUGGAGUGGGCCGGGUGAUUUGGUUUGCUGCCUCUGUUCUCUGGGCAUCCCUGGCCCUGGAGGCUGCCCUACGCAGACUGCAUCACCUGGGCUCCUGAAUUCUCCUUUGUGGUCGGACUUGGCCAGCAGGGGUCCUGGCAGGGAAGGGAGAGAGGAGCCAAGGUAUUCGGUUCCUCGUCUCUUGCCCACCUCCUCCCUUGUCUGCCUAAAGUCCUAGCAGGGGUUGUGUUUCCGCAGUGGCCCUUGGCUGGGUGGCCACUCUCCCCAACCCCAGUUUUACUGGCACCGUUUCUACCCUUAUUGAUUCCCUGAAUACUAUCUAUAACUGGAAAAUCGUCAUGUCAUUAAACUCUCUUCAGUGAA